rnacentral:sRNA from 1 species
ACACUAGAUUCACCGAGCCGGCCUUUAU